AACUUUCAACAAUGGAUCUCUUGGAUCUGGCAUCGAUGAAGAACGCAGCGAAAUGCGAUAAGUAGUGUGAAUUGCAGAAUUCAGUGAAUCAUCGAAUCUUUGAACGCACAUUGCGCCCCUUGGUAUUCCAUGGGGCAUGCCUGUUCGAGCGUCAUCU
rnacentral:rRNA from 1 species